rfam:Gossypium hirsutum cultivar TM-1 chromosome 20, whole genome shotgun sequence
UUUCCGUGAUGAGAGAAUCUCUAUAAUAAUUCUUUAAAUCUUUCCCACGCCUCAUACAAGGAUUCACCAUCCAUCUGUUGGAAGGUAGUGAUAUCAUUCUACAACUUA